UACGUAGGAGGCGAGCGUUGUCCGGAAUUAUUGGGCGUAAAGAGCUUGUAGGCGGUUUGUCGCGUCUGCCGUGAAAAUCCGGGGCUCAACCCCGGACUUGCGGUGGGUACGGGCAGACUAGAGUGUGGUAGGGGAGACUGGAAUUCCUGGUGUAGUGGUGAAAUACGUAGAUAUCAGGAGGAACAUCGGUGGCGAAGGCGGCUAUCUGGCCAUGUACUGACACUGAGAUACGAAAGCGUGGGGAGCAAACAGG
rnacentral:rRNA from 1 species